CCCACGACGGGGAAAAUAGUCUCUCUAGUAUUGUCGGUGAAUGGCGAUGGUGGUGGUGGCGAUGGCUACUUUCCUCUGCUCAGAGAGAACCCCUGCAUGUCCUUCGUCGUGAUGCGAAAGAGCAGUGGAUGCAGAAAAUGUCUCUACCUGCCAGGAUGGUAUAAGAGCACGAACUGAAUCACCUGUUGGUGCAGAAGGCUUGGAGGACUGCUUUUGAAACAGUUGUUCAAAUUUCCUGCACCUCUUCGUAGCCGUUGUCUGAUUUCUGCAUUCUGGGGAGACUGAAGUUAAGAAGCCCUCACCGAAACCAACACUACGUUGCUGUGUUGUUUUCUUCCAAGGUCGGGCACAGUAAAGGAGACGACUCUGUAUCAAGGCACUACCCAGAAGGAGGAUGUUGGCCUUCUCCUGAUGGGAAAAUGUCUUCUUUCUCAUGGCGUGGCCAGGACUGCACUGACCCUACCAUCCACUCUACCUCUCCGGAAAGGGACUUGACAACCAGUCAAGAUGGAUGUGCAGAGAUAUACCAGCGCUUCUAGCAUUAACUGCCAAUUUGCACUGACGCAGCAAGACUCCCAACAGUCAAGAAGAAUAAUAUAGACGUGCAGAAAAUGUAGGAGAGCGAUGACAUCAGAAGGACACUCUCAGGUUCAGGGUACCUGUACUGCCCCAAUAAAGUGGGUCAGAUCCCAAAACGAGGUUGGCCGAAGCAAAAAAAAUAGAAGAGCCUGCCUUGAACUGAAUAUGAGAAGGAAGAAGAAGAAGACAAAGAAAGAGAAAGAGUAGGAAUUUGUUUGUGUAAACUUUGUUUCCUCUGUCUAGGCUGCCACCGCAUUAUAGCAGCCAACAGUGUGUGUGUGUGUGUGUGUGCGUGCGUGCGUGCGUGCGUGCGUGCGUGCGUGCGUGCGUGCGUGUGUGUGCAUAUGUGUGUGUGUUUACGUUUGUGUGCACACGCUUGUGUGUGUGUUUGCAUGUGUGUAUAUUCUGCUAAUCUUGACUUAAAUUUCACAUCUGGGCAUAUUGUGUUCUGUAUGUGAAUUUAUCUUCAUUAACUUGUGCGCUACGUUCCUUUCUUCACGUU